rnacentral:rRNA from 1 species
UGAGGAAUAUUGGUCAAUGGACGCAAGUCUGAACCAGCCAAGUAGCGUGCAGGAUGACGGCCCUAUGGGUUGUAAACUGCUUUUAUAUGGGGAUAAAGUGGGGAACGUGUUCCCUUUUGCAGGUACCAUAUGAAUAAGGACCGGCUAAUUCCGUGCCAGCAGCCGCGGUAAUACGGAAGGUCCAGGCGUUAUCCGGAAUUAUUGGGUUUAAAGGGAGCGUAGGCUGUCUAUUAAGCGUGUUGUGAAAUUUACCGGCUCAACCGGUGGCUUGCAGCGCGAACUGGUCGACUUGAGUAUGCAGGAAGUAGGCGGAAUUCAUGGUGUAGCGGUGAAAUGCUUAGAUAUCAUGACGAACUCCGAUUGCGCAGGCAGCUUACUGUAGCAUAACUGACGCUGAGGCUCGAAAGUGCGGGUAUCAAACAGG